rnacentral:rRNA from 1 species
GGAAAAGNAACCAACAGGGAUUACCUCAGUAACGGCGAGUGAAGCGGUAACAGCUCAAAUUUGAAAGCUAGCUCUUUUAGGGUUCGCAUUGUAAUUUGUAGAAGAUGCUUCGGGUGUGGCCCCGGUCUAAGUUCCUUGGAACAGGACGUCAUAGAGGGUGAGAAUCCCGUAUGUGACUGGGUGCUUUCGCUCAUGUGAAGCUCUUUCGACGAGUCGAGUUGUUUGGGAAUGCAGCUCAAAAUGGGUGGUAAAUUUCAUCUAAAGCUAAAUAUUGGCCAGAGACCGAUAGCGCACAAGUAGAGUGAUCGAAAGAUGAAAAGCACUUUGGAAAGAGAGUUAAACAGUACGUGAAAUUGUUGAAAGGGAAGCGCUUGCAACCAGACUUGCGCGCUGAUGAUCAUCCGGGCUUCUGCCCGGUGCACUCGUCUGCGCUCAGGCCAGCAUCGGUUUCGGUGGUGGGAUAAAGGCCUUGGGAAUGUAGCUCCUCUCGGGGAGUGUUAUAGCCCUCGGUGCAAUGCCGCCUACCGGGACCGAGGACCGCGCUUCGGCUAGGAUGCUGGCGUAAUGGUUGUAAGCGACCCGUCUUGAAACACGGACCAAGGAGUCUAACAUCUAUGCGAGUGUUUGGGUGUCAAACCCAUACGCGUAAUGAAAGUGAACGGAGGUGAGAACCCUUAAGGGUGCAUCAUCGACCGAUCCUGAUGUCUUCGGAUGGAUUUGAGUAAGAGCAUAGCUGUUGGGACCCGAAAGAUGGUGAACUAUGCGUGAAUAGGGUGAAGCCAGAGGAAACUCUGGUGGAGGCUCGCAGCGGUUCUGACGUGCAAAUCGAUCGUCAAAUUUGCGUAUAGGGGCGAAAGACUAAUCGAACCAUCUAGUAG